GCUUAUGGCGGUCGUGCGCGGGCAGGCUUUUGCCUGGCCGGGUCUCCUGUACCCCGGGUCUCACCCCGUGCACGGCUGCCACCCAA
rnacentral:antisense_RNA from 2 species